rnacentral:rRNA from 1 species
AUACAGGGGGUGCGAGCGUUAAUCGGAAUUACUGGGCGUAAAGAAUACUUAGGCGGUUGCUUAAGUCAGAUGUGAAAGCCCCGGGCUCAACCUGGGAACUGCAUUUGAAACUGAGUGACUAGAGUUUAAGAGAGGGGAGUAGAAUUCCGGGUGUAGCGGUGAAAUGCGUAGAGAUCCGGAGGAUACCAGUGGCGAAGGCGGCUCCCUGGCUUAAAACUGACGCUGAGGUACGAAAGCGUGGGUAGCAAACAGGAUUAGAAACCCGAGUAGUCC